rnacentral:misc_RNA from 1 species
GGAACAGCUCACAGGUGUGAUGGUUUGCCUUCAAAGUAUGAUGAUGACAUGCUUGUUGAUGGAUAUUUGAGAUGUGAGAAGUGGAUGCGGAAUGACAUUGUUGAUACUCGAGAGUCGAAAAUAUUCUCAUGGUUUGAUCGAUUCAUUGGACGUGCAAAGAAGCCAGAGGUGACAUGGCCUUUCCCAUUUGUGGAGGGUAGGAUGUUUGUUCUAACUAUUCGUGCUGGUAUUGAUGGCUACCAUAUCAAUGUUGGUGGGCGGCAUGUGACUUCAUUUCCAUAUCGAACUGGCUUCACACUGGAAGAUGCUACAGGGUUGGCAAUCAGAGGUGACGUAGAUAUACAUUCGGUUUAUGCUACAUCUCUUCCAACCUCUCAUCCAAGUUUUUCUCCCCAAAGAGUGUUGGAUUUCUCAGAGAAGUGGAAAUCUCUUCCUUUACCCAAGAAUCGCAUUCAACUUUUCAUUGGGGUGCUUUCUGCCACCAAUCACUUUGCUGAGCGUAUGGCAAUCAGGAAAACAUGGAUGCAGGCUUCAGCAAUCAAAU